rnacentral:rRNA from 1 species
GAUGAACGCUGGCGGCGUGCCUAAUACAUGCAAGUCGAGCGAACAGACGAGGAGCUUGCUCCUCUGACGUUAGCGGCGGACGGGUGAGUAACACGUGGAUAACCUACCUAUAAGACUGGGAUAACUUCGGGAAACCGGAGCUAAUACCGGAUAAUAUAUUGAACCGCAUGGUUCAAUAGUGAAAGACGGUUUUGCUGUCACUUAUAGAUGGAUCCGCGCCGCAUUAGCUAGUUGGUAAGGUAACGGCUUACCAAGGCAACGAUGCGUAGCCGACCUGAGAGGGUGGUCGGCCACACUGGAACUGAGACACGGUCCAGACUCCUACGAGAGGCAGCAGUAGGGAAUCUUCCGCAAUGGGCGAAAGCCUGACGGAGCAACGCCGCGUGAGUGAUGAAGGUCUUCGGAUCGUAAAACUCUGUUAUUAGGGAAGAACAAAUGUGUAAGUAACUAUGCUCGUCUUGACGGUACCUAAUCAGAAAGCCACGGCUAACUACGUG